GACGAACGCUGGCGGCGUGCUUAACACAUGCAAGUCGAACGGAAAGGCCCUGCUUUUGUGGGGUGCUCGAGUGGCGAACGGGUGAGUAACACGUGAGUAACCUGCCCUUGACUUUGGGAUAACUUCAGGAAACUGGGGCUAAUACCGGAUAGGAGCUCCUGCUGCAUGGUGGGGGUUGGAAAGUUUCGGCGGUUGGGGAUGGACUCGCGGCUUAUCAGCUUGUUGGUGGGGUAGUGGCUUACCAAGGCUUUGACGGGUAGCCGGCCUGAGGGGGUGACCGGCCACAUGGGGACGGGGAGACGGCCCAGACCCCUAGGGGGGGAAGCGGGGGGGAAUAUGGCACAAGGGGGGGAAGCCUGAUGCAGAAACCCCGGGGGCGGGAUGAGGGCCUUGGGGUUGUAAACCGCUUUCCCCUGGGACGAAGGGGGAGUGGCGGUAAUGGGAAAAGAAGCACCGGCAAAUUAGGG
rnacentral:rRNA from 1 species